rnacentral:rRNA from 1 species
UACGUAGGUGGCAAGCGUUGUCCGGAAUUAUUGGGCGUAAAGCGCGCGCAGGCGGUCCUUUAAGUCUGAUGUGAAAUCUUACGGCUCAACCGUAAGCGGUCAUUGGAAACUGGGGGACUUGAGUGCAGAAGAGGAAAGUGGAAUUCCACGUGUAGCGGUGAAAUGCGUAGAGAUGUGGAGGAACACCAGUGGCGAAGGCGGUUCUCUGGGCCUUACCUGACGCUGAGGAGCGAAAGCGUGGGGAGCAAACAGG